rnacentral:rRNA from 1 species
GCGAUAACGAACGAGACCUUAACCUGCUAAAUAGUUGUUCCCUUCCGGAUGGAAGGGGAAGCGCGACUUCUUAGAGGGACUUGCCACGUUUAGUGGUAGGAAGUUUGAGGCAAUAACAGGUCUGUGAUGCCCUUAGAUGUUCUGGGCUGCACGCGCGCUACACUGAUGAAGUCAGCGAGUAACGAAUGGACCUUUACUGGAAGGUACGGGUAAUCUUGUGAAACUUUAUCGUGAUGGGGAUAGACCAUUGUAAUUAUUGGUCUUGAACGAGGAAUUCCUAGUAAGCGCAAGUCAUCAGCUUGCGUUGAUUACGUCCCUGCCCUUUGUACACACCGCCCGUCGAUAAUACCGAUUGAAUGGCUA